ensembl:lncRNA
UAUAUAUAUUGUGUGUGUGUGUGGAGCUCUCGGGCUGCAGCGGCUGUGUCAAGGGACCAAAGCAGCGACAGGCGGCUCAUUUGCUGCAUGAUUAUCAACGGGGUUGUUGCAACUGAGAGGAAGGGCCGCCUACGUACACACUUUCACUCACACCACACACACUGUUUCUUGUUUAAGCCAAUUAUGCAGGCCAGUAACCUGCCAUAUGGCUUCUGCUAGUUCAGAAUCUGCAUUUGUGUGUGUGUGUUUUGAAUUGUGUCAUCAUAACACAGUCAGCUUGUGCUUGAAGCCACAGAGCAGAUGACAAAGAAAGAGGAAUCUUAAUUGGUACUAACAGUCCAGCGCAUUAUUAUUCAAGAUGAAUCCAAUGUUAUAGUAGGCAUUAGAACAGAAAUUAUUAAGUUCUUUUUUCUUUUGUGUUCAUGUACCUCUUUAUUUUAGUCACUCUUUCACUUGUUCUGCAGGUUUUUGUAGAUUUGUGCAAAUGGAACGGCUCAUAAGCCACACGUAGGAACUCAUUUAUAAUUUUGGCGAUUCCCCCCCCCCCCCAUUCUACGUUUUACAGUUUGGCUGCGAGUUAUAUUAUAUUUUCAAAUUAGAUAUAGGAUGAGACAAUACUUUUCAAUACUGUUUUUUAUUGCAUUGCAUAACCCAUUUCCUUUAUUGCCGUGGCAGUGUCUGCAGCUCUCUACACCCUUUCUUUGGAUGACGCGCUCCAAAGUGGACCAGCCCUAAAAACUGGACGCUUCAGGCACUGAAACGCCAUCAGUCAGAGCGAGUGAUAAAGUUACACAAAACCAUGAUUUCAAUCAUUUCCUGUCUUUUGGCAUGGUGUGUUGAAGCGUAAACACAUAUAAUUCCAUGUGUGUGAAAAGAAAACUCUUUACUUAAAAUGCCCAGAGAGCUGCAAAAGAGUAGCUGAACUAACAUCACAGAUGCUACAGCAGACGUUAUUGAUUGGAGCUGUAUGCUUCAGAGAAAGGUGAAAUAAAAGAUCUUGGUUGAUUGAAUUUGAUGGGCCUUGGCCUGUUUUACUGCGAAUAUAAUUCAUGUCGAAGAUGUAUCUGCAUGAUGAAACAAGACUAAAAUCAAACUAAUUGUGUGUGGUUGAUUGUACAUCAUUGUACAAUGGAUUGAUCACAACGACAGCCCCAUCCAUUUCUAGUUGCAAACUGGUACUGAAUUGAUGACUGGUCAGUUACAAAUUAUGAUACGCUCCCGAAAAAAAGGCUGGUUGUGGCCCAGUGUUUUUGCCAUGGUAAUUAAGUCUAACAUUGCCAUCAUUCUCACCUUCUGCUGCUGAUGAGAAAAGCUUUCCUUCCCCCUGAUAAUGCUUUAUCGGCAGGUCUGUGAUAGCUAAACAUCUAGUGUCUGAAAUGAGUGUUUCCAUCUCCUUUGCUGCACUUUUAUAAGCUACGAUUAACUUCAAACUUUCACAUCUUCAAAAAAGAAUAAUGAUUGAACCACGUGAGACACGUGAGCUGCAGAGGCUCCACAUCCGUCCAUGUUGUGCUACUAGUAUUGUUGGUGCUUCAGGCAAGAUCAUGCCAAGAGUCCUCCAAUACACACACACCCUGUUAUCAGUUAUCAGUGAUUGGUCAAUGGAAUAACAUUACAGCUUGUUUUAUAGAUGGCUGAAGUUGUUGAUGCAUUUAAGGUGAUUCUCCAGAAGAAUCACUAUUGAACACAUUCAUGUGCGGCUUCCCACACAUCUCGAUUUUAGAAGGCAAAAUGUUACAUAAGAGUAGAAAUAUUCACAAGGAAACCUACUGCUGUCUUAGAAUAACCUUACUUUCUAUUUCUCAAUUGUCGGCCGAAGCUGUUGUUUUAUUUUUGGUGAUGGUCACAAUAGCCUUUAAUACUGUGAACAGAAUGUUGUCUUCAUUCUGGUCAUUAUCUUCAUACUAUUUUCAAGACACUGGUCCACUUGUAAACCUUAUAUGUGUGCAUGUCUAUACUUGUUUUCCCCGAUACUCAUCGUUAAAUAGCAGCGUGCAGAAGUCUUGGCUUGUCCUCAAUCACAUGUUGGUGCAGCAUUAGGGAGAGGUUUUGGUACUUAAGACAUCUUUAGACGAUGAAGCUUGGACACAUCGAGGCCGCUGGCUACUCUUGAUUCCUCAGAAAUAAAAAUAAAUGAACGUAGCAGAAGAUGAAAUGUCCAAUUUACAUCGUUGGGCAAAAUGACAAUUUCCCUGUGUGACAAAUGUCCAAAACAUGUGCACCGCGUUAUACAUACUGAGAUGUAUGUAAGGCGUUGUUUAUUUGUGAUGCCUGCCAUGGAGACAUCUGUUGGUCACAAAACCAAAGAGUAAAUCGCUUUAAUGAGCAUUUGCUUCAAGAAGCCUCCAAAUGUUUUGUGUCAAGAAUCUGAAACUGUCUUUUGGGUUAAAACAACAGAACACAUCAGCAUCUUUCUGAUUUUCACCAGUGCCCUGCCCACAGUGAUUGGUAAUAAAAUCCAGUGGUAAACGAGCAUCAACAAAAUGAAAAUGAAAAUGAUUCGGAAUCCCAAUUCUUUUUUUCUUCAUCUCAUCAGAAAAUAACAGCAAAGAAAGAAAAAUAAGAUGUCUUGUUUCAUUGUUGUCGUCUUGCCCCAGCCCUGUCUUUAUAAUUUAACUGCUCACCUGGGCUAAAGGCCCAUGGCAGCAACAAGAUGCUCCGUGUGUAAAGUUGUUUUCUUUUCUUUCUUUUUUUUACACUUCAACACAAAUUGUGAGGAGCACAUCUGUGAGAGACGCUGGUCAUGAAGCGAAGUUACGUCCUCUUCCUCGCUCUGUCACUGGUAGCAUUAUUUGCAAAGACGACUGAUACGGUUGGCCAAAGAUGCUCCAGCUACACUUGUUGCUGUAGUAGGUACAAUAAAACAGUUACAAGUAAGAUGCCUACUUCUUUAUCAAUACACCUGUUCAACAGCGACAAACAAAAGCAAUAAUUCAAGCUGCUCUGACUGCAGCUUCUCAUCUAUCGACGCUGUGCUUCGCCCAGCACAAACCAGCUCGCCGGUCUAAGGAACAACCUGAAACCUGAAAGUCCAUAGUCUAAAAGUUUUGCUUAGUUUGCCACUCGUCUUUGGCGAAAACUUUUUCUGCAGGGUGAGGCGAUGCUGGUACAUACAGUUGCUGUUUGUUGUGGAGCCCACCUGUUCAGGCAAUAGAUUAAUACAUUCCAGCUGAAAGUUGGGUUCAGUCAAUCAUUCAUUCAAAAAACGUGUAAAUGAUUGAUGACUGCAGGACCAAAGUCAAUAUUUUAUUUACUGGUAUGAAAUAGUAAGCCAGUGGCCGUGCUCUCAAAUCAGUGUUUGUGAGCCUGUCGUUGUGGUGCUGCAGCAACCUUCAGGACUAAAAGACAGCAACGAGCAGGUCAUUAGUAUGCAUGCAGUCGCCUCAUUAAUUUAUACUCGUAGCGCACAAUUUUUUUAUUUUGACUUUUUAGUUUUAUGUGUUGUGUGUGAAAGAGGCGACUAUGGAUCUGGGUUGAUAAAUUGUCUGUGAAGGCCAUUAUUAACGAAAGAGAGCACAGAUAUUUGUUAUGUUCAAUACGUUAAAGCAGGCUUAUUUGCAGUGUUGUCUGGGGCUUGUAAUUACAAUUGAAGUCUUUAUUGAUUAAUUUAUGAUGAAUUGCCACAGGCAGUGGUACCUUAUGAAUUAUGGCUGAGUACGAGAUUAAUCAAAUAAUGAAAUUUAUAGAAAUGUCAAAUUUCUCAUUUUCUGAUCGUGGUUGAAGGUUGUUUUAAAGCUUAAGGGUUCCAGAUCAUUUAAUGCGUUUGAAUCAAGCACAACUUUGUUCUCACCCUCUCAUUGGUCUGACUGACGAGGUGUUUUUGCAUGAAUCAAAGAGACACACAGAGGCGGGCAGAGGUUGAGCUCAUAUUGCUUCUGUUGAUGCUGAAGAUGGUUGUAAUCGGUUAGGGGGCGGCGGUGUGCGGAGAUUUUUUUCAAUUGCUUGUUCUUGUUUUAUUGUUCAAUACUCAAACCACAUUUUCAAAACUCUUCACACAUUCAGCGACACACAAGUGUAUUCGAACCAGACUGUGAAUCAUUUCUCAUUGCUUUCAGACAAAAUGCAGUCAUACUCCACAAACUGCAAAAAACUGUAUAUUUGCAGGACAUUUUUCAUAUACUAACACACUGCUUCAAAAACGGAUAAAAGCACAUUCAAAUCAGAGUGAUUGAUGAUUUCAAACAAUUCAGCAGUAAUUAUUUUUUAAAUUUAGAAAAUCUUAGCAGAAAAUCAAAGAAUUAUCAGUCCAAGCUAAUUGUAAUUUCAGCUCAAAGCCGACCAAGGUGUCCUGCUUUACUCUCAUUACCAUGUUUCAGGCGAUAGCUUGGAUCUGAUUUUGUUUGGAGAUAUGCAUCACAGAAGACAGAUUGGUGGGGAAAGAGCAGUGAUAUGAGGGAGAGUGUGUGGAGGACAAAGGAGAGGGAGACCAAGAGCGGUGAUAUCUGAUGAAAUACAUCUUGAAAAUGAAAGGACAUUGAAAUUUGGGAGAUUUCUUUUGCGACAGUGCACAGUAAACAGGGGAAGCCGGCCUGUUGGGUGAGACAGAAUAUUUGUAUAUAUUCUUGCAUUUCUUCAUGACUUCAUUUCUUCAUCACCUUGAUUUUAAUCAAACCAUUUAAGGGGCUUUAUUUUGAUGAUGGACCUCAGAAAUGAUGAUUGUGAAGAUGUAAGAAUAUACAGCUGGUCAAACAAAUUAGUAAAUGUAUAUCACCAUUUUUAGGCACAAAUACGAUCAAGAAUUACGAUCAAACACGAUCUACAAAACAAAAUAAAAACUAGACAUGCCCUGAUGAGUUUUCAGCUGAUCCACAAUAAAUAUGCUCAGUCUCUUUCCAAUCCUUUUUAAAAAUAUGUUUGGCGGUCACGUUGACACACACGGGCAUUCCAAUAGAUGACUCACAUCGGCACACGUGUCAUUUACAAAUAGACCUGUUGGUGUGGAAGUUCAUUAGAGCCAAUGUGUUGUGCUCGAAGAUAAUCCUGUAAAAUAGAGUUUGCGGCAAUAAACCAGAAAUAAACAAAAUGUUCCUGCAUGUGUUUGGUGACGAUGACCCAUUGGUUCAGAAGGCUGUCUAACUACCUCGGUGGCAAAAAGAAGCAUUUGUUGUGCUCGGGACAUUCUUUGCUUCCUGCUUGCUUCAAUUAAGUUCCUGCUGUUUGUGGCUUUAAAGCCCAUGGCGCUGUGUGUGUUUGUUUGCAGUGUGUGUGUGUGUGUGUGUGUGUGUGUCAUUGGGUGUGUGUUUUCGAUGAUGUAUUUGUAACUCGUUUGUUUGUUAACUUGUUCUUCAAAAGUUGUUGUCUUUCUCUCCCCUCCAAAAUACUCUUUGGGGUAAUUUUAUUCUUCUUGCUCUACUAUUUAGAUGAUGAUUGUUUUUCAGUGCCUGCAUUUUUAGAUUUUUAAUAUAUUUGUGCCGUCGCGCUGGGCCCUGUGGAUCCACCUAAACACACACAAAUACUUGGGUAUUGUUUAACAAAAGGGUUUUCAUUUUUUUUAACUUAAACACAAAACGUGGACUGUUAUGCGCUCCUACGCGCUGCCGGGCCUCUCGGGGUCAGAGUCCGCCGGACGCCGACUCUCUACCCGGCCUGAUUCUCUCUCAGCAGGCCUCCAGUCUGCUUGGCAUCUGUGCCAAUUAAACUGAUCAUGGGCCUGUUCUAAUGAAACACUCCUGCACCUGAGCACAGACCACGCCCACUUCUACAAUAUUUAUUAUGAUGCUUCAUGAAUGAUAUUCUUUCAAGAGCUGGUGAUCAAUUUAUCAAAUACUUUUAUCGUGACGGAACAUUUUAUUUGUAGGGUAAACCAUUUGAAAAGUAGAAAAGGGUCACUCGCCACAACACCUGAGUGUGUUGAAUGAGUCAGUAAUGUGUUUAAACCACAGUGCAUUAGUGCAAGGUAAUUGAAUUAUUGACUGUGAUUUUAACCCCAUGGCUCUCUCUUGGGUUACAUGUAGCAGCUCCCUGUAUUUUCUUUAGCAGUUGUUGGGAACUUUGCUCGACACGUCUACCUCCAACAUUUUAUUCCAGUCAGUCUCUGUCUUUCAUUUCAAUUGGUCCCACUCUUCUGAUAUUGAUGGCAGAAACAUUCCAGACGACUCUGCUAAGUACUUUCAAAAUUGCAAACUUUAAUUUAGAUGAGAUGAGAGCAUGGAAUUAUUGAUAACUUAAUGUGUCUCCAAGUCCAAUGAUUUUAGUAUAUGCCCAUUUGUCAUCCUGGCUGUCAUCACCGAUCAGUAAAUUUAGUCAUAUUCUUCAUGAGAGUUCAUCAAGAGUUAAGCUCAUUUUAUCCUUCAGUUUCUUUUCUCAUGCUUUAUCUGGAGUAGGUGUACAAUGCAAAUGUACAAUAUUUUGACCUAGAGAAGUUUCCAGUUCCUUUUUGUCCAAUAAUCUAUUACGGAUGUCUCAACAUCCAAAAAGACAUUUUCCUAGCAUGUGCCAGAUUUUUGUAGCUGAACUUGCCUCUGACCUUCAUGUAAAAGUUGAUGAUGUUUAAAAAGCGAUUUAUUUUUGCCAUCAAUACUCUAUGUGUGUGUGUGAGUGUGCGUGAUUGAGUCCUCCGACACUUCAUAUCCCAGUGUGUCCCAUCUAAACGGGCCCAAUAGACACGGUAGUUGACUUGAUUUGUAUCCCUCUUUUCUCACCUACUCGUUCACCUGCUACUCCUUCCUCACUUUUUCUCUAGCUGUCAGGGUCAGCUGUCUAGACAGAUAGUCAGGCCCCCACUCGAUCAGCUGAGGACCAUUUGGCCCUGUGUACAUGCUGCAUACUUGUGUGUGUGUGUGGGUGUGUGCGCUCUAUGUGCCAUUGUCAUUGUGAUCAAUUGAGGAAGCACACAAGGACACAAGAUAUUAUUUCCGGCCUUCUAUAGUCUGUAAUAAAGCAGACCUGAACAAUGUAUAGUUAGCUUCUUCCUCCUCGCUGGAUCUAUUCAUUCAGGAAAACAAACGAGCAAUAUAGAAUAUGAGCGUAACUGUGAGAGGGAGGAUUGAUGGCGGGUAUUGAUAGAAUUUACACUCCCGGUUGAAUUGACAAUUAUCCGCUAGAUGAAAUUGGAAUUGGGUUGUAGAAGUUGUCGGGACCUUUUUGCAGUGAAACCCGUAUGCAAAUAUUGGGAUAAUUUACAUGAGCGCUUUAUACUCUACUUGCCUCAUAUAUUCAAUGAUUUAAUAGCCUACUUUCCUUGCAGCUCUUCUCAAAACCAGUGGAGGAAAGGCAGAAAUGUGUCACGGGAGGGGGAAUGGAUAGGGGGAAACGGAAGAAACAGAUGCACAACAGAGCUAGGAGCAAAUUCAGCCCCUUAAUUUGGAAACCAUAAGCACAUUAUUGGUGCACGGUUUCUUACCUCCUACCAGGAACUGGUGUUGCAGUUUGUUUUGGCUUCCUCCCUGCGAUCCAAAAAGUUGGCCAAAUACUGAAGUCCGCCCCCCUCCUUUAUGACCAGGAGCAAAAAGAAGGAAGGAAGCAGAGCGAUGAUGAGGACAAGAAUGUGAAUGACAAGAACCUGCCAAUGAAUACGGUCUCCAGUAAACCCUACGAUUGUUGCCAGUGAAUGGCUCGAGAUGGAGGAUGAUCCACAGACAUGAGGAAUCCAAAUCUCAUUUGCUUAUUAUUAAAUGGAAAUGAGAUUCAAAAAAAGGACCAUAAUUCUGUCUUUACUGUUUGAUACAGUAGAAUAUCCAUUCUUGGAAGAACAUCACAUUUGUACGCAAAUAGACACACUCUCCCUUUGCAGCCACCCGAGUGAUUGUGAGUCGUGGAGGCCUCAUUAAUCACGCCACGCCAAUGAGGAGCCAGGCCCAGAUACAAGUUAAAUAGGAAAUAGGAAAUUCCCUUGGCCUUUUUUGCACACAAUUGCAUUUGUGACUGUGAUGGAGCGUUUGCCAGCACGCAUACUGGUGGAAAGUGUAGCCCUUCUAGAAACAGCCUCUGAUGUUUCAGCAAAGUAGAAGGAAUCCUCAAGGUGUACCCCCUUGAAAUAAUAACAUACUAAAUAUUAGCAGAGUGAAAAUGUAACCAGAUCGAUCAAAUUUAGAAUGAACAUUGACUAUGUAGCCAAUUAAGGGCAGUUAGUUCUUUUAUUCUUAAAUAAAAUGUAUUGCUCUUGUCGUCAUUGAUGUAUCAAAAGAGCUGUUUUUAACAUUCUAAAUAUUAAUAUUGCCUCAAACAAAUCGUUCCUAUUAAUUAAACUCAUUCUUGGCAUCAUAUCAAAUAUCAACCCUAAAACCUGUUAUUAAUGAGGAAACAUCAUCAAAUUAUUAUAUUUAUUCAAGAUUACAUUACACUCAAAAUUAGAUAUGAACAAAUCAUGAUUAUUUACCUUUGCCAAGUUCUCAUUUUCA